UACGGAGGGUGCUAGCGUUGUUCGGAAUCACUGGGCGUAAAGCGCGUGUAGGCGGCCCAUUAAGUCUGAUGUGAAAGCCCGGGGCUCACCCCCGGAAGUGCAUUGGAGACUGAUGGGCUGGAGUCCCGGAGAGGAGGGUGGAAUUCCUGGUGUAGCGGUGAAAUGCGUAGAUAUCAGGAGGAACACCGGUGGCGAAGGCGGCCCUCUGGACGGUGACUGACGCUGAGACGCGAAAGCGUGGGGAGCAAACAGG
rnacentral:rRNA from 1 species